GUCACGGUGGCCGAGUGGUUAAGGCGUUGGACUCGAAAUCCAAUGGGCUCUGCCCGCACAGGUUCGAAUCCUGUCCGUGACG